rnacentral:lncRNA from 1 species
AGGACAGUCACCCUCCCAGCGUUGUAGGAGCUCCUUGCUCCAGAGAGUCAGGGAAAGCUUACCAGAGGACACGAUGCUCCUACGGAGCAUGGCAGUUCUUUACGGCGGGGCCAGGCUGAAAUUCCGUGAGAAGAAAGAACGCAGGCUGAGAGUUGAGAACUCUACAGCUGAAGGUCUUUGCCAUCUGAUUCAACCCCUGUGCUCGCUCCAGUGGGAUCUUGCACAGCUGGAGACACGGUGAGGCCACUGAGGCACAGAGAGGCAGUUGGACUCACAGUCACCCAGCUGAGGUGACAGAACCAGGAUCGGGAGGCUGGCUCCCAAGUCUACACGCUUAACCACUUGCUCUUCCCCGCCUUUGUGCUGGUCACACAACGAUGCCAAAAACCGCUUUGGGGAGCAUUUUGCCUUUAGCUGGCCUCUAUCUUGUUGACCACCCUCCUUCCACCUGCUUCCCACUCCCUGAGGUCAUUUUAUGGCUAAAUGAAUCCCAACUAAAUACUAACUCUGAGGAGGGUCCCGGUGUUUGCCACAGCAUCUGUGUUCAGAAGGUUCAUGGGUGCAAACUUCCCAUUUGGACUAAUGGGAGGGCCUGGCCUCUGAUUUGGGACGUUUGUGUCCGAAGAGGGGUGGAGAUGGUGAACCAUUCAGUCUGCUCCUUUUCGAGCUAUCAGCGUGGUCAGCUAGCAUUUUUUAAACUGUGAUUUUCCACACAUCAGUGGGUCAGGAAAACAAUUUAGUGCUUCUCAAGUCACAUUUUAUUUCAAUGA